rnacentral:tRNA from 1 species
UCUAAUAUGGCAGAAACCGGAUGCAAUGAAUUUAAGAUUCAUCGAUAAAGAAAUUAUUCUUUUAUUAGAA